rnacentral:piRNA from 1 species
UCUGUGGGUGACAAACGUGCCUCGGGU